rnacentral:rRNA from 1 species
UGGGGAAUUUUCCGCAAUGGGCGAAAGCCUGACGGAGCAAGACCGCGUGGGGGAGGAAGGUUUGUGGACUGUAAACCCCUUUUGAUUGGGAAGAUGAUGACGGUACCAAUCGAAUCAGCAUCGGCUAACUCCGUGCCAGCAGCCGCGGUAAUACGGAGGAUGCAAGCGUUAUCCGGAAUUAUUGGGCGUAAAGCGUCCGUAGGUGGCAUUACAAGUCAGUUGUUAAAGCGCGAGGCUUAACCUCGUAAGGGCGAUUGAAACUGUGAAGCUAGAGUUUGGUAGGGGUCAGGGGAAUUCCCAGUGUAGCGGUGAAAUGCGUAGAUAUUGGGAAGAACACCGGUGGCGAAAGCGCCUGACUGGGCCUGAACUGACACUGAGGGACGAAAGCUAGGGGAGCGAAAGGGAUUAGAUACCCCUGUAGUCCUAGCUGUAAACGAUGGGUACUAGGUGUUGACCGUAUCGACCCGGUCAGUGCCGUAGCUAACGCGUUAAGUAUCCCGCCUGGGGAGUACGCUCGCAAGAGUGAAAC